GGUUAAGCGACUAAGCGUACACGGUGGAUGCCCUGGCAGUCAGAGGCGAUGAAGGACGUGCUAAUCUGCGAAAAGCGUCGGUAAGGUGAUAUGAACCGUUAUAACCGGCGAUGUCCGAAUGGGGAAACCCAGUGCAAUUCGUUGCACUAUCGUUAACUGAAUACAUAGGUUAACGAGGCGAACCGGGGAACUGAAACAUCUAAGUACCCCGAGGAAAAGAAAUCAACCGAGAUUCCCCCAGUAGCGGCGAGCGAACGGGGAGCAGCCCAGAGUCUGAAUCAGCUUGUGUGUUAGUGGAACGGUCUGGAAAGUCCGACGGUACAGGGUGAUAGUCCCGUACACCAAAAUGCACAGGCUGUGAACUCGAAGAGUAGGGCGGGACACGUGGUAUCCUGUCUGAAUAUGGGGGGACCAUCCUCCAAGGCUAAAUACUCCUGACUGACCGAUAGUGAACCAGUACCGUGAGGGAAAGGCGAAAAGAACCCCGGCGAGGGGAGUGAAAAAGAACCUGAAACCGUGUACGUACAAGCAGUGGGAGCACCUUCGGGUGUGACUGCGUACCUUUUGUAUAAUGGGUCAGCGACUUAUAUUCUGUAGCAAGGUUAACCGUAUAGGGGAGCCGCAGGGAAACCGAGUCUUAACUGGGCGUUAAGUUGCAGGGUAUAGACCCGAAACCCGGUGAUCUAGCCAUGGGCAGGUUGAAGGUUGGGUAACACUAACUGGAGGACCGAACCGACUAAUGUUGAAAAAUUAGCGGAUGACUUGUGGCUGGGGGUGAAAGGCCAAUCAAACCGGGAGAUAGCUGGUUCUCCCCGAAAGCUAUUUAGGUAGCGCCUCGUGAAUUCAUCUUCGGGGGUAGAGCACUGUUUCGGCUAGGGGGUCAUCCCGACUUACCAACCCGAUGCAAACUACGAAUACCGAAGAAUGUUAUCACGGGAGACACACGGCGGGUGCUAACGUCCGUCGUGAAGAGGGAAACAACCCAGACCGCCAGCUAAGGUCCCAAAGUCAUGGUUAAGUGGGAAACGAUGUGGGAAGGCACAGACAGCCAGGAUGUUGGCUUAGAAGCAGCCAUCAUUUAAAGAAAGCGUAAUAGCUCACUGGUCGAGUCGGCCUGCGCGGAAGAUGUAACGGGGCUAAACCAUGCACCGAAGCUGCGGCAGCGACACUAUGUGUUGUUGGGUAGGGGAGCGUUCUGUAAGCCUGCGAAGGUGUGCUGUGAGGCAUGCUGGAGGUAUCAGAAGUGCGAAUGCUGACAUAAGUAACGAUAAAGCGGGUGAAAAGCCCGCUCGCCGGAAGACCAAGGGUUCCUGUCCAACGUUAAUCGGGGCAGGGUGAGUCGACCCCUAAGGCGAGGCCGAAAGGCGUAGUCGAUGGGAAACAGGUUAAUAUUCCUGUACUUGGUGUUACUGCGAAGGGGGACGGAGAAGGCUAUGUUAGCCGGGCGACGGUUGUCCCGGUUUAAGCAUGUAGGCUGGUUGUCCAGGCAAAUCCGGAUAAUCAAGGCUGAGGUGUGAUGACGAGGCACUACGGUGCUGAAGUAACAAAUGCCCUGCUUCCAGGAAAAGCCUCUAAGCAUCAGGUAACAUCAAAUCGUACCCCAAACCGACACAGGUGGUCAGGUAGAGAAUACCAAGGCGCUUGAGAGAACUCGGGUGAAGGAACUAGGCAAAAUGGUGCCGUAACUUCGGGAGAAGGCACGCUGGUGUGUAGGUGAAGCCCCUGCGGGUGGAGCUGAGACCAGUCGAAGAUACCAGCUGGCUGCAACUGUUUAUUAAAAACACAGCACUGUGCAAACACGAAAGUGGACGUAUACGGUGUGACGCCUGCCCGGUGCCGGAAGGUUAAUUGAUGGGGUUAUCCGUAAGGAGAAGCUCUUGAUCGAAGCCCCGGUAAACGGCGGCCGUAACUAUAACGGUCCUAAGGUAGCGAAAUUCCUUGUCGGGUAAGUUCCGACCUGCACGAAUGGCGUAAUGAUGGCCAGGCUGUCUCCACCCGAGACUCAGUGAAAUUGAACUCGCUGUGAAGAUGCAGUGUACCCGCGGCAAGACGGAAAGACCCCGUGAACCUUUACUAUAGCUUGACACUGAACAUUGAGCCUUGAUGUGUAGGAUAGGUGGGAGGCUUUGAAGCGUGGACGCCAGUCUGCGUGGAGCCAACCUUGAAAUACCACCCUUUAAUGUUUGAUGUUCUAACGUUGGCCCCUGACCGGGGUUGCGGACAGUGUCUGGUGGGUAGUUUGACUGGGGCGGUCUCCUCCCAAAGCGUAACGGAGGAGCACGAAGGUUAGCUAAUCCUGGUCGGACAUCAGGAGGUUAGUGCAAUGGCAUAAGCUAGCUUGACUGCGAGCGUGACGGCGCGAGCAGGUGCGAAAGCAGGUCAUAGUGAUCCGGUGGUUCUGAAUGGAAGGGCCAUCGCUCAACGGAUAAAAGGUACUCCGGGGAUAACAGGCUGAUACCGCCCAAGAGUUCAUAUCGACGGCGGUGUUUGGCACCUCGAUGUCGGCUCAUCACAUCCUGGGGCUGAAGUAGGUCCCAAGGGUAUGGCUGUUCGCCAUUUAAAGUGGUACGCGAGCUGGGUUUAGAACGUCGUGAGACAGUUCGGUCCCUAUCUGCCGUGGGCGCUGGAGAAUUGAGGGGGGCUGCUCCUAGUACGAGAGGACCGGAGUGGACGCAUCACUGGUGUUCGGGUUGUCAUGCCAAUGGCACUGCCCGGUAGCUAAAUGCGGAAGAGAUAAGUGCUGAAAGCAUCUAAGCACGAAACUUGCCCCGAGAUGAGUUCUCCCUGAGACUUUAAGUCUCCUGAAGGAACGUUAAAGACGAUGACGUUGAUAGGCCGGGUGUGUAAGCGCAGCGAUGCGUUGAGCUAACCGGUACUAAUGAACCGUGAGGCUUAACCUU
rnacentral:rRNA from 1 species